rnacentral:rRNA from 1 species
UAGGGAAUAUUGCACAAUGGGCGCAAGCCUGAUGCAGCGACGCCGCGUGAGUGAAGAAGGCCUUCGGGUCGUAAAGCUCUUUUAUCAGGGAAGUAGGGUUACUUUAUAAAUAAUAAAGUAGUUUGACUGUACCUGAAGAAUAAGCACCGGCUAACUCCGUGCCAGCAGCCGCGGUAAUACGGAGGGUGCAAGCGUUGUUCGGAAUUAUUGGGCGUAAAGCGCGCGUAGGCGGAUCCGUAAGUCGAUUGUGAAAGCCCCGGGCUUAACCUGGGAUGUGCAGUCGAAACUGCGGACCUUGAAUACCGGAGAGGGUGGGGGAAUUCCUGGUGUAGAAGUGAAAUUCGUAGAUAUCAGGAGGAACAUCGGAGGCGAAGGCGCCUACCUGGUCGUGUAUUGACGCUGAGGUGCGAAAGCGUGGGGAGCAAACAGG